rnacentral:rRNA from 1 species
UGGGGGAUAUUGCACAAUGGGCGAAAGCCUGAUGCAGCGACGCCGCGUGGGGGAUGAAGGCCUUCGGGUUGUAAACUUCUUUUGCUCUGAACAAGGCAUGCCUUUGGGGUGUGUUGAGUGUAGGGGUUGAUUAGCGCCGGCUAACUACGUGCCAGCAGCCGCGGUAAUACGUAGGGCGCGGGCGUUGUCCGGAAUUAUUGGGCGUAAAGGGCUUGUAGGUGGCUGGUUGCGUCUGUCGUGAAAGCUCAUGGCUUAACUGUGGGUUUGGGGUGGGUACGGGCUGGCUUGAGUGCAGUAGGGGAGGCUGGAAUUCCUGGUGUAGCGGUGGAAUGCGCAGAUAUCAGGAGGAAUACCGGUGGCGAAGGCGGGUCUCUGGGCUGUUACUGACGCUGAGGAGCGAAAGCGUGGGGAGCGAACAGG